UCAGAAGGUACCUUUAGAGCCAGAGCUCCUCACAGCCUGGGUGCACCUUGUUACAGAUGACAGAGGCACAGUCAUGAAUACUGCCAGACGUUAUCUCAUGUGCAGGGAGAAGAAGGGGCCAGCACCAUUGAACUUACCUUUCCUAAAAUUGCCGUACUUCAGGCUAGAGACAUGGGAACCUGCACUGUGUCCCCCAGGGCUGCACUCAUUCACCGGGCCAGGAUUGGUGAAUUCUGCUGGCAGACCAGGAUGAGCAAACACAGCUUCUUAUGUUUGCUGCCUCGUCCCAGAGAACAUUUGCUUCUCUGUUUGGGAAAAGAAAUGACUGACUAACUUCUUCUCUGUUUGGGAAAAACAGAGUUAGACUAACUAACUAACUUCUCUGUUUGGGAAAAACUAACGUUUACGUGGGUAAAGAAUCUAAAUGUAGAAAAUAAGAAAAGAUAACAUGAAGGAAAUUGUGGAAA
rnacentral:lncRNA from 10 species